GACAGGAAACUGUGGAGUGAAGGGAAGAAGCGGGUGGUCCCGCCUCCGCGCCUGCCGGGGCCUCACCGCCCAAGGAGGAACUUCCAAGCGGCCGCGGGGCUGCCCGGAGCCGCACCCGCCAGCCCGCCCCGCGCCCACCCCGGACCACCCCCAGCCGCGGGGGCCGCCGGCGAGCGCCUGGGGCACCUGCGGGAGAAACGGAGCCGGACAGACUAUGAGAGACGCUGCCGAGCCAGGUCCAGUCCAGCCCAGCCCAGCCCAGCAGGCCACCCCGGCACGGCCCAGUCCAGUGCGUCUCAGCCCAGCUCAGUCCAGCAGAGUCCAGCACGGUCGAGCCCAGGACAGCCCAGGCCAGCGGAGCCCAGUCCAGCCCAGUCCAGCCCAGUGCCACCCGGUUUCAGCGCGGCACAGCCCGGCCAUGUCCAGCCCAGUCCAGCCCAGCCCAGCCCAGCGCAGGGGAGCGCAGCCACCGCCGUGUGCCCUUUUCAAGGACACGUGCUUGUUCUCUGAGGAACCAGUGCUCUAGGGCUACUGUCGAGGUGACCUGGUGCUGUGGAGUUGGAGCCGAGCUCUGAGAGCUAAGUUCUGUCUGCCGUGUUCAAUGGAGAGCAAGCAGAAACCCAGAGAAGCUAAACGGCUCAUCUGAGACCUCACAGCUCACCAGCAGCCGAAGCUCAGCCAGCAGUUCCUGGUAAAAUGGGGACCAGCACCCCGUCUCCCUUCCCAGGGCUCUCACCCCGUUCAGUGGAAACCAGACGUGGAGCUUUCUCCUCUGGAACCAGCAUUGAUGCUUCAUGUGGAUUCUCCGCAGAGAGUACCACAAAUGUACAAAGAUAAGUGACUUAUUGUCACAAUUAAAAUAAGGAAUGGGCGCCUAC
rnacentral:lncRNA from 1 species